ACCUAGUCCCACCACACCCCCAAGGGUAUUCAGCAGUGAUAGAUAUUGUCUAUAAGCGCUAGCUUGACCCAGUUAUAGAGAAGAGAGCCGGCCAACUUGGUGCCAGCCGCCGCGGCUAGACCAACUGGACUCAAAUUGAUAAUCCCCGGCGUUAAGCGUGAUUAAAGCCAUGAACAAAUUAGAGUUAAACCUACGUUGAGCAGUGAAAAGCACACGAUAGGGAAAUCCAAAAACGAAAGUUAUUCUAAUCCUUGCUUGAAUACACGACAGCUAGGACACAAACUGGGAUUAGAUACCCCACUAUGCCUAGCCGUAAACUAUUAACCUACACCCACCCGCGCCAGGGAACUACGAGCUUUAGCUUAAAACCCAAAGGACUUGACGGUGUCCCACCCAACUAGAGGAGCCUGUUCUAUAAUCGAUGACCCCCGCUCCACCCAACCCCCCCUUGCUUUAUCAGCCUGUAUACCUCCGUCGUAAACCCGCCGUAUGAAUGUACCCAAGCGGAUUUAAUGGUCCCACACCAACACGUCAGGUCAAGGUGCAGCCAAUGGGAGAGGUAAGUGAUGGGCUACAAUUUCUAAUCUAGAACAAACGAAAUUCUGCAUGAAACACAGUUAUGAAGGAGGAUUUAGUAGUAAAAAGAAAGUAGCGUGUUCUUUUUAACAUGGCCCUGGGACGUGUACACA
rnacentral:rRNA from 1 species